AACAUUUGCAAGGCAUCGACAAUGACCUUCUGUAGGUGAACUGCGGAAGGAUCAUUG
rnacentral:rRNA from 1 species